GGGCUGUAGCUCAGUGGGAGAACAUCUGCUUGGAAUGCAGAAGUCCAGGUUCAAUCCCUGGGAGCUACA